CGCUCCUUUACCAGCUUGGACCUUGUGUUAAUUUACAAAACAGGAGGCUGCCAUUUCGUUGUUGACGUUUGCGGUCACGUGACUGCAGUUUCUUCCAGUAGACGCAGAGGGAUCCAGACUCGCCUCUUUUUCUGUGAAAAAUCACAACACUGUCCUGUGUGCAGCAGCCCAACAUUACUGUUAGGAUAUGGCCCCUUGAAACUGAGAAGAGGGUUUAAAAGGUAUCAGGAGGCUCCAUGUAUCCCUUCUGAUGAUGCAUGGCACGGCUGAACCUCUGAGCUAUAAGUAAGUUGUAGAAGGCAGCAGGCAGGCGGCAGCGAACAUCAAG